rnacentral:rRNA from 1 species
GAUGAACGCUAGCUACAGGCUUAACACAUGCAAGUCGAGGGGCAGCGCAGUGUAGCAAUACAUGGGCGGCGACCGGCGCACGGGUGCGUAACGCGUAUCCAACCUUCCCGUUACUCAGGGAUAGCCUUCCGAAAGGGAGAUUAAUACCUGAUGGUGUUCAAAUUCCGCAUGUUAUUUGAACUAAAGAUUCAUCGGUAACGGAUAGGGAUGCGUGACAUUAGGUAGAUGGCGGGGUAACGGCCCACCAUGCCUACGAUGUCUAGGGGUUCUGAGAGGAAGGUCCCCCACACUGGAACUGAGACACGGUCCAGACUCCUACGGGAGGCAGCAGUGAGGAAUAUUGGUCAAUGGUCGGAAGACUGAACCAGCCAAGUAGCGUGAAGGAUGAAGGUUCUAUGGAUUGUAAACUUCUUUUAUACGGGAAUAAAACCACCUACGUGUAGGUGCUUGUAUGUACCGUAUGAAUAAGCAUCGGCUAACUCCGUGCCAGCAGCCGCGGU